GCGUGAGUGAAGAAGGCCCUAGGGUUGUAAAACUCUUUCAGUGGGGAAGAUAAUGACGGUACCCACAGAAGAAGCCCCGGCUAACUCCGUGCCAGCAGCCGCGGUAAUACGGAGGGGGCUAGCGUUGUUCGGAAUCACUGGGCGUAAAGCGCACGUAGGCGGAAAUUCAAGUCGGGGGUGAAAUCCCAGGGCUCAACCCUGGAACUGCCCUCGAUACUGUAUUUCUAGAGUCCGGGAGAGGUGAGUGGAAUUCCGAGUGUAGAGGUGAAAUUCGU
rnacentral:rRNA from 1 species